CACACCACAACUUAGUAAGUAGUAAGGUCUUAAGACCAACCUUAUCUAACAGUUGAUAUUCGCAUUACUUUACACACAGAUUGUGUCAUAGCUCAGUAUUCUAAUUCAGCAUUAGAAUGCAAAACAACACAAUGCUUUUUUACUACUCCAUCACACCAAGUCUCUCCAACAAAGACACAAUAUCCUAUAGUUAACAUUCCAUCGACCUUCAAGUCUGCCCAAUCUGCAUAUGAAAAACAUUCAAUAUUCGAAUGUCCAUAAUUACUAUACAAAAGACCAUGCCCUAGAGCUCCCUUCAAGUAACAAAAAAUUUGUUCCAAAGCUUCCCAAUAGGCAACAGUGGGAGAGGACAUAAAUUGACUUACUACACUAACGAAGUAUGCAAUAUUUGAAUGAGUCACUAUAAGAUAAUUUAACUUAUCAACCAAUCACCUAUACAUCUCAAGAUCUUGAAACACUUCACCAUCUCCCGCUAUAAGUUGAAGAUUAGGAGUCAUUGGGGUGCUCUUAUACCAUGUAAGUUUGAAUGGUGAAAUCUAUAUAUACUACAAUUGUGUAUUCUAAUUAGGAAUCUAAUGUCCUAUAAUUUUGCCAAAAAAAUAGAAACACAAUCCUAACUGAUUUAGGAAUAUAUAUGAAGACACUAUAUACAAUUGACCUUCCAAUCCAAAACAUAACAAAUACUAAUCCUAAUCCUACAACUAUGCCAUACAAAAUUUCACAGUUGCUUCAGAAUUUUCUCUAUCUCUAAAGCCACCAAAUGCUGUUGCUACUACAGCUUUGAAAUUACAAAAC
rnacentral:misc_RNA from 1 species